UACGGAGGGUGCGAGCGUUAAUCGGAAUUACUGGGCGUAAAGCGCGCGUAGGCGGUUUGUUAAGUCGGAUGUGAAAGCCCCGGGCUCAACCUGGGAACUGCACCCGAUACUGGCCGACUUGAGUGUGAGAGAGGGAGGUAGAAUUCCAUGUGUAGCGGUGAAAUGCGUAGAUAUAUGGAGGAAUACCGGUGGCGAAGGCGGCCUCCUGGCUCGACACUGACGCUGAGGUGCGAAAGCGUGGGUAGCAAACAGG
rnacentral:rRNA from 1 species